CACUGCUGGUGGAAUAAACAACAACAAAAUAUAUGCUCAAUAUCACUGCAGGAGCAUCUCUUUUGUUGUUGUUUAUUCCACCUGCAGUGAUAUUGAGAAUCUCUGUUGUUGUUGUUUAUUCCACCAGCAGUU
rnacentral:sRNA from 1 species